rnacentral:lncRNA from 1 species
UAAGGAUUGUCUUCUAUAAUAUCACUGACUUUAGGCGGAGUGAGAUGAAUGAAACCUUCUCUACGGAAAACUUCUUGAAUAGGGUGUAUAAUUGCGUCCUUUUUGACAACCUUUGCAGACGAGGGAGAAAAACCAAGACCUUCUCGGGACUUGUUCUCCAGCAAAAUCACGACCUCCCCCUAACCAUCAGUUGCACCACUCUUGACCACCUUCUGUGCAUCUUUGAGAGAACAAAUCG